UACGUAGGGGGCGAGCGUUGUCCGGAUUUAUUGGGCGUAAAGAGCGCGUAGGCGGUGCGUUAAGUCUGUGGUGAAAUCUCCCGGCUCAACUGGGAGGGUGCCGUGGAUACUGGCGUGCUGGAGGACGGCAGAGGAAGGUGGAAUUCCCGGUGUAGUGGUGAAAUGCGUAGAGAUCGGGAGGAACACCAGUGGCGAAAGCGGCCUUCUGGGCCGGUCCUGACGCUGAGGCGCGAAAGCUAGGGGAGCAAAC
rnacentral:rRNA from 1 species